UGCCGCGUGUGUGAUGAAGGCCCUAGGGUCGUAAAGCACUUUCGCCAGGGAUGAUAAUGACAGUACCUGGUAAAGAAACCCCGGCUAACUCCGUGCCAGCAGCCGCGGUAAUACGGAGGGGGUUAGCGUUGUUCGGAAUUACUGGGCGUAAAGCGCACGUAGGCGGACUAUUAAGUCAGGGGUGAAAUCCCGGGGCUCAACCCCGGAACUGCCCUUGAUACUGGUAGUCUUGAGUUCGAGAGAGGUGAGUGGAAUUCCGAGUGUAGAGGUGAAAUUCGUAGAUAUUCGGAGGAACACCAGUGGCGAAGGCGGCUCACUGGCUCGAUACUGACGCUGAGGUGCGAAAGUGUGGGGAGCAAACAGGAUUAGAUACCCUGGUAGUCCACACCGUAAACGAUGAAUGCCAGUCGUCGGGUAGCAUGCUGCUCGGUGACACACCUAACGGAUUAAGCAUUCCGCCUGGGGAGUACGGUCGCAAGAUUAAAA
rnacentral:rRNA from 1 species